AUUGAACGCUAGCGGGAUGCCUUACACAUGCAAGUCGAACGGAUUGGCGAACGGGUGAGUAAUGUAUCGGAACGUGCCCAGUAGCGGGGGAUAACUACGCGAAAGCGUAGCUAAUACCGCAUACUAUUGGAGCGGCCGGUACCGGAAUAGCUAGUGGGUGGGGUAACGGCUCACCAAGGCGACGAUCCUUAGCUGGUUUGAGAGGACGACCAGCCACACUGGGACUGAGACACGGCCCAGACUCCUACGGGAGGCAGCAGUGGGGAAUUUUGGACAAUGGGCGAAACCCUGAUCCAGCCAUCCCGCGUGUGUGAUGAAGGCCUUCGGGUUGUAAAGCACUUUUGGCAGGAAAGCGGUACCUGCAGAAGAAGCACCGGCUAACUACGUGCCAGCAGCCGCGGUAAUUC
rnacentral:rRNA from 1 species